rnacentral:rRNA from 1 species
GGACUACCGGGGUUUCUAAUCCCGUUCGCUCCCCUGGCUUUCGUGCCUCAGCGUCAGUUGAGACCCAGUGUGUCGCUUUCGCCACCGGCGUUCCUUCCAAUAUCAACACAUUUCACCGCUCCACUGGAAGUUCCACACACCCCUAUCUCACUCCAGCCAUCCAGUUCAGAACGCAAUUCCCCGGUUGAGCCGGGGGCUUUCACACCCUGCUUAGAUAGCCGCCUACGCACCCUUUAAGCCCAGUGAUUCCGAAUAACGUUUGCACAGUUCGUAUUACCGCGGCUGCUGGCAC